GCACCUUCAAGAAGGCCGGGCACGUUUCUGGGCGGGCGUGGGGGGUGCCUGAUAUCUCCGCUCUAUUUUACAGUUACUCCCCUGCUGGUGCCUCCCUCCUUGGCGCGCUUCCCACCUGCGAUCGGCGCCCUCUUCGCAGUCACGAACUCGCCAGCAGCUAGCAGCACUGACUAGUAGGAGGGCCCGCCGGAGGAGAGGAAGCCCCAGAGAGAUUGGUGAGGGUGAUUUCCCAGGAAGACGCAGUGUGCUCUGACUUCUGUGACAGACAUGCUCUGGAGUCAGAAGACAGCGAAAAGAGAAGCAGAAGCCCCGGUGGCAAGAGUCUGAAGGAAGGAUGACUGUAGCCUGUGGAUUGUACUGCAGUAGGAAACUGUCCUAGCAAGGCUCCACUUUGCCCCAGCUUCAAGCUGGAAAGGAGGAGAACAUGAAACAUUGCUUGAAGACAAUGGCCGAGACAGCAGGUCCCACCCUGCACAGCCACCAGCAUCUCUCCCCUCAGCCCUGUCUCCUCUUCUGCAGUUGGGAUCUGCACAUUUAAGCCUGAAAUUGUCCUGUGAAGUGAAGUAUGAUCGGACAGCCUCUUUUCAGCUUUUAUGACAAUGGAGACAGAGGAAUUGUGGCUCUUGCCAAGGUCACAGGAUUGGAAUACAGAGCCAAGCCACCCCAGGACAUGCAAGAGCCUCAGAAGGGAAAAAAGCCCAGCAGGAAGGGAGAACAAGUAGCCUCUGUCCUGAAGUUGUAACAGCCAGGGGCCAGGAUGGAGGAGGAGGACCCCAUAAUCUGCCCAUCUGGGACUUGGCAGGGGACCUGGGAAAAUGUACCCCAACCCAUCCCUUAAGGGCCUUUGUCUUUGGCCCAUUGGCCUAGCAUCUACUUCUUCACCGUGUCUGUUCUUGUCACACCUAGUCAGGUCUGUUUGGGUCUGAGGUGCAUGGAACAUUCUGGGUAGGCCUCCAGCAAACGGAAGCUCUUCACCGUGUUUCCAGCCUGGGACCAAGGGCAGCAUACUGGCAAAGUUGCCAAAGCAAGGGACUCCAGCCUCUUAGGAGUUAAUGACUCCCUCUCCCCAGCUGUCCUCCCCUUGGUGCUCCUCUUCCUCCCUCCUCCUGCUCACAGCAGGCAGGGCCUAGACCCGGGAGCCAUGCUGCUGUGCUGUUGCCAGGGGAGCACGGAGGCAGAUCUGAGCUAUGCAGGGAAAAGGCCCAGCCUGUCAAAGUGUCUGAGAUGAACCGCCGCCGUCCCUGUGCAGCUGGGCUCAGACGUGUCUCAGCUCUUGUUCUGUGCCUGAGAAUGGCGAAACCCAGUGAGGUUCAAGGGCAAACUCGCUAUUCAUUAGUCAGGGGUUCUUGACGUCCCGUCUCUCCCAGGGAUGAGUUCCCCCCUCCUCUUUCUCCCCCUCCUAUGACACAUUCCUGGGUGCCUUUGGUGAGGACUGCACACCCUCCUCCUGCCUAGCCCCCUCUCCAAAGGCCCCUGAAUAAACUCCCCCCAAGGAGACCAGGCAGGGC
rnacentral:lncRNA from 1 species